AACUGUUGGAUAAUCUGACGGGUUAGUAGCAGUAACAGAAAGUUGCCAGCUGUUGGAGAGGCAACUCUCCGAUCGUUGGUUGACAAUGAAGAAUGUAAAAUAUCAAAACGGAUAGUUUCGAGGUGUUGAAACAGUUUCAGUCACAGUUUAUCAAUUGAAGAACUACAGGAGUUAGCACAGUAACAAAUCCGAAAAUUCUUGAAGAUCCUAGUGUUGAACUAACAACGCUAAAAAGAAUCAGGGCUGUAAUAACAUCACCAAACCAAGGAAAUUGUAGACCAGUUUAUUGAGAAUGCCUAACCGGGAGUCCACAGAUGUGUGAGGAAGAACCAUAGCUUAAACCCUCAUCCCAGAUCUAGUAUCUUUUGUCUUGUUUCUCUCCGUCGCUUUUCAACUAAAUCAAUGAUUUGAUGAAGAAAACCUUGGAGAUUAACCGUGGAGAAUUUCACGACUGAACACCGAACACAAAUUGUGAAAUUUUUCUAUCAAAGCCAAGAAGCAAAAUUCUAACUCAAAAAGUAUAUCAUCGACAUUACCUUUAAAAAUACCAAUGCUGGUGGCUGCGAACACAAGUCGUACAGCCCCAAGGCUGUGCCUAUGCUGGUGUUAUUAUAUAAAAUAAUAAUAAUAACAACAACAACAACAACAACAACAAUAAUAAUGGUUUGAAAUUUUGGAACAAGGCCAGAAAAAUCGGGAGAGGAGUUAAUUCUUUUAAAUCGGCCCAAGUGUUCAACUGGUACUUAUUUUAUCGACCCUGAAAGUAUGAAACGCAAAGUCGACCUCAAGAGAAUUUGAACUCAGAACGUAAGUACGGACGAAAUGCUGCAAAGCAUUUUGCCCGGCUUGCGAACAAUUCUGCCGCACUAGGGCGGAAAAACAUUUGGAACAGCAUAAUAAACAAAGACAACGAGGAUUUACAUAAAAUCUAAUAAAAAGUCAGUGAUAGAACUAAUAGCAAAAAUGAUAACAGCAACAAGAAAAUCAUAAAAAAUUCAAAUCCCCAAGCGAUAUUCAGUUGUUUGGGUUGUGUUAUUACCAUUGUUGUUACAUAACGGCAACGAAAGAACCACACAGAUCCCAAGGCACCCUUAUCAUCAGCAGUCCCAUGGUAAAUAGUCCAUUUUAAGUUUACAAGUGCGUACAUAGAGUUGGUCCAUUCCCUAGGGCCAUUGUCGCUACAUUCGCCCACCUUUCAGCUAAUUUACGGCAGGGAAUGAGGAUUAGCAUCUUCCUGUCCACCUUAAUAUUUCUUACAGAGUGGAGCUUGAAAAAGUCGAUGAGGGCUUGGCGGAAAAGGAAAGCGUCAGUCUUCAGAACACUAUACGAGCAUGUGCAAGAUAAUUUCAUCGCUCUACACGUACCUCAGCGAGACGCGACUGAGAAUACUACCAUGUCGGUAGAGUUUAUCCCGAACAAGCAAUGCCCUCCUUCCAUCCUAAUAGCGAUGUAAUGCCAAGGAUUUACGGGAAUUAUCCAUGCUCCCCACCCGAAAGUACCCUGGAAAAGAUCAGCCAUAGAUUCCCCGAGGAGGUCGUCGUUCUUAACCCAUCAUUAAUUCUUCAUAAACCAUAUUGGAACAUCCACCGAUCGCAUUGCCCGACAAGUUGGAAAAUGUGAGCACCUGACGGCACACAAAAUGUCAGGUAUCUUGCUUCGGUCUACACUUGUUCCAAGACUGCAGCUCUUUCAAAGAGACGAACUGCAGAAGUGUAGGUCUCGUCCACCACACCACCUCACCACCUCACCGCCAAAGAAUUGACAAAGAUUUCGUGACCUUAGCACAUACCUGCUCAUCAUUAGCCACGGCAUUCUAAGUUCUCCACGCAGGGGAUGUUGACAGGAAAUGAACCGUCCGACUAGUGGAACACGCCUUCCCCCAUUCAGAAAGCGGAAGAGCAACCAUUCCAUUCUGGUUAUGUGUGAAGCGGGGAAACGUAUGUCGGUCAGACAGUAGUAGAUGAUAGAUGCGAUGUAAGCAUUCGCAACUUCUACCAGAACCUUCAAAAAUAGUUACCUCUCAGUGAGAUUAGCCACCCUGUUUGUCAUUUCCUAGUUCUUGUCCCUCUGAAGAUCAGGACCAAAUCCCGAGCAAUUUAACUUGUCCGCCCAUUCAGCGCUCCACGACACUGUUCGAUGACAUGGACUUGCCUCUACAAGUACUAAGGUGUAGUCCCCAAAACUUCUGCUUAAUUCUUAUUCUUGUUAACUCCUCGUAUUCCAUUAGACCAGAACUAAUCACCUCGAUGUGCUUGGUGUCCGACAUUAUUACGGUACAUCGUACACAUACGCUGACACCGAACUCAUGCUCUCUAGAUUUGUCAUGAACCUUUGUAGUCGCUCUAAAGGCAGCAUGUACAGAAAGGGAGAAAGUGAGCAAAUAGACAUAAGCAGUUUGUGAGUUAGAUUGGACUGACGAUUACGUGAUCACCGGUUCGAUUCCAUCACGCAGAACUUUGGAAAGGUAUUAUAAUUUACCAUAGUUUCAGUUCUACAAAUGCUUUGAAUGUGAAAUUUGGUUGUCAGAAUCUGUUUGGAGACUUCUUGUGUUGGAUAGUAGAUUUCAUCCGGUCACCUGGUUAAACAUUACCACCUGUUUCUUGAUUGCCUCCAGUGGAGUUUCCGAUCUGAGGAAAAUGUUUCCUUUUCCUCCCACUAAUCUCGGAAAUUUCGAAGAACCCAGUGGUGUUGCCCUUCCUUAUUAAAGGCAUUAGGAAAGGUCAGUGAAACAUAGGCAGUAGCAAGGGAGAAAAAGCUGAUAAAAUGAUGAGUGAUUAAGAAAAUAAAGACAUAAUGAAGAUUACUUUGAUUGAAUCGAUAAACACUGAACAAAUGAUAACGGUAAAUAGCUCUGAGAAUAUUAAUAAUUUCUACAAGAAUAUUUCUUAGAGAAGCGAUUAGUGUCUCAAAAUUUAUUGAGAAUUGUGGAGGCGGAGAUAAUAGAAGGUAUAAGCAAAGAUUUUCUUCUUAAAAUGUAGCGAAAGGAUUUUGGUUAUUUCAUAUUUGCAUGAUUACAUCUGGUGUUACGUGAUGAUACGGUUACAGUUUUUAAAGUUGUCCGUUUACUUUGGAUAAUUAAGAAAAAAAAAAAAAAGAAAACAAAUUUCGAUUGAUAAAAGAAAUAGGUUUUAUUUACAGGUUGCUCGGACUAAAUGUGAGGAUUUUUUUAUGUCGUCUUUUCAGGAAUAGCUUGGAGUAUCGGUGAACAGUCAACGGCGUUGAUGUAUGUAAAGUUAGCUAACAUGUAUGCUGGAAGCCAUCUGAAUAUUGAAAAAAGAGUUACCUGCAUCAUGAUGCGCGCCAGGUAUCAAAAUGCCGACAUAAUGACAGCUACUUAAUGCUCUGUGAAUACUGUAAAAACUGUAAGACGUGACAUGGACAGUUGCAACGGGGACUACGAAGCCGUGUUCAACAGGCGUUCUAACUGCAGCCACACUCUGAAAUUCAUACUUACAUCUUCGAAUAGAGUCUUGGGCUCAAUUCACAUGGCUAUGUGAAGCUGCUAAAGACUAGUGAAACACUGGCUGGGGAGGGUCGGUGCUGGAAGUCCACACGUGUGACAGCAGGGCUCGGUUCCUUGCCAUACCUUCAGAAAGUGGUUGUUGGAAAACUUGUACGACUUCAUCAGCCCCAAUUUCUGGCCUCUGAACUCCUCUGAUUGUUAUCCCAUGGAUAACAAUGUGUGGGGCACAGUUGAGAAAAAUCAUCAACUGCUCUGCCUGCAACACCAAGGCCGAGCUUGUGGCCAAGAUCAAAGAAGUGUUUGAAGAUCUUCCUGGAGACACAUCGAGGAACGCACGCCCAGGUUGCGGGGCCGUCUCGAGGCUGUGGUAGAAGUUGAGAGCGGCUACUUUGAGUAAACUGCUAUUUCUCAGCCAUAAUCUAGUUGAUAUCUUUUGAUUAAAAAAAAAAACAACUUUUAUUUUGAAUAGGAUAUUGUGUUUUCAUUUCUUUUUAUGCAAAUUGUCAAAUUUUGCUCAAACACCCUAUAUCUGCAUCAAGUUGUUGAUUAAAGCAAAGUAAACGUACACAUUCAUAUAGUUUAUUCCGCAAAUUAUUUUACAGG